GUUUUGCUUACCGUGGCUCUUAACAUUCAUGGGGACUACUUUUUUCACCACAUAGCCCUUUCCAGUGGCUGCUGCAGAGGCCACAAUGAGAAGGAAGAUGCUUGCCACUCGUAGGUCCAUCUUGCAAUCCCAAACCUGCAGGGAACAGAAGAAGAUUGUCAAUAUCAGAUCUUGCGUCUAGGUACUGGUGUAGGAGGGAAACUCAGACAUCCCAUGGCUUUCCCCGGUCAGAAUGGUUCUAUACUCUUUCCAGAAUUGAUGUUUCUGGUUUCUUCCCCAUGCCGACCGAGGCUCAACCCACACCCAAAGAGAAGAACAUAAUUGGCGGUUGAUGUAAAGAAGCCCAACUGAGCACG